CAAACCUGGGAAACGCAAGAG
rnacentral:siRNA from 1 species